ACGGGAGUGGCAAGCGUUAUCCGGAAUUAUUGGGCGUAAAGCGUCCGCAGGCGGCUUGGUAAGUCUGUCGUUAAAGCGUGGAGCUUAACUCCAUUUGAGCGAUGGAAACUGCCAGGCUUGAGUGUGGUAGGGGCAGAGGGAAUUCCCGGUGUAGCGGUGAAAUGCGUAGAUAUCGGGAAGAACACCAGUGGCGAAGGCGCUCUGCUGGGCCAUAACUGACGCUCAUGGACGAAAGCCAGGGGAGCGAAAGGGAUUAGAUACCCCUGUAGUCCUGGCCGUAAACGAUGAACACUAGGUGUCGGGGGAAUCGACCCCCUCGGUGUCGUAGCCAACGCGUUAAGUGUUCCGCCUGGGGAGUACGCACGCAAGUGUG
rnacentral:rRNA from 1 species